UUCAAGCUGCAAUCCCGGUCUCAUAGAGGGAUUUGAUGGAAGGUCAUAUUGUAAGAAUUCCGGGGAGGAUUUUGACACUGAUCUGUCCUAGUUGGGUGCAAAGCACACAGUAACCUCCCCCGUGAGGGAAUAGUCAAAUCUCUCGACCACCUCACCUCUCCUUGCCGCCUUGCAUAUUUCUCCUCUGCCUGGCACUUCUUGGCACUCUGAGAAGAAGAGAGCUAUUCUAGCAACCUUGGCAUUGGGGUCCCCCGCUCCGAAAAAGAUACUACUCAGUCAAGUCCCUCGUUUUGUUCUUCUUUCACCUCUUGUGGUUCCUAUAACGGCUGUCAGCAGCUGUCUCUCUCCGCCCCGCCAUCUUUCCCUGGAGGGCUGUCGUCGUCGGCAUCUGUCAAGGCCAGUACAGCAUCACUGCUAAGUAAAACUCUCCCCGCCUACCAGAGGAUCGAACAACAUGUCCACAAGAGGAGAAACAUGGCACGACUCGAUGUUUCUGUUCACCUGACCCAUUUAACCAGAUUAUGGAUGUUUGGAGGAUGUAGUUUGUAGUGUUUCUACUCAAGGUUGAGAAGAAAAUACUCUAAGCAUAAUUUGGUUGCAGCUGUCAUCAGAGUCAUCUUAGUACUACACGUUAGUAGUGGGUCAACCCAUGUUUGUACCGUCACCAAUGCCUUUUUAGUACAGAUCACAACUUCAUCCUAGUAGUAUAUGGUUUCCAGAAGUUUGACUGGACAUAUCUUCUUGAAACAACCUCUUAUCUUUCAAGCAUUGACAAUGAGGAAGCCAUCAUACGGUGGACAUAAGAAAGAUCUUCAGUAUUUGAAUGUCAGCUGAAGAUACUGAAGUCAUAGGGAGCACUCGGAGUUUGAAAAAUGUUGUUCGGAUCAGAGGAACUGGUUCCUAUGGGGGUUCUGGAGCCAGGUUCUACGUACACCUGGAUGACGGCAGGUGAAAGGUUGAUGUUCUACUGGUGUGCCCUCGUCCUUUCUGCUCAGAUAUAUACUUUGUUUGUGACUUACGUAUACAGCCUUUGAAGGACAUGGCCCUUUCCAGUGAAAUCAUUUUGGGUAGUACAGAUGAUCAUAAGUUGUCCUGUUUAUGACAGUGAAAUAAACCAUGCCUGCGUGAUUAAAAUGGAGAAUUUUUAGUAGUUCGUAGGUUUUAUAUUUUGACUUUAUAUAAUUAUAUACAUACAUAUAUAUUAUAUGCACAAGUACACCAUUUCAUUAACAGGAAGUGGCUCCAUAUAGAAAAAAUACAUUAUGUCGACCGGUGCUACAUUCAUACAUUAACUGUUUUAACACAGAUGAACCUCCUGUGUAGAAAGCUUUGAUAAAUUUGCUGGUUCAUUCACUACGGAAAGCUCAUCAGCAGCAUGUCGAACUCCCCGUACACACACUACACCAUUCGCCUAUAUCUUUCCAGUACCCUUUUGGUUCCUGGAUAUUAAGAAAUCUUUUUAAAUACGGUUUUCACGCCAUUUAUCAAGCGCUUUUAGGUGUUUCUCUUCUCUGCCCUUUUUAACACUUCCGAAUUAGACAGUCUCUUCCCCAACCUAUCGUCCUGUGUUCUACAUGACCAAACGAUUUCUAAACACUUUGAUCUAUCCUCUUACAUAUGCCAACUCUUUGACCACUUCUUUUACUUAUCUAUACACACUUAUCCUUUCAUUUCACAAUAAGCAGCCAUUUCUGCUACCAACGAGAGUAAAAAGCAUAAGGCUGGUGAAAAAAGUGCAUAAUUCGGAAGUGUUACGAGCAUAUAAGAGAGGGAAUCCUUAUAAGUAUUCUAUAGUUAAAGCAGACGAGUUACUGAAUAAGUAGAGCCAUAAUAUUUAGGAAGGGCGAGAGUUACACUAGCGAAGUGUGUGGGGGAUUCGACGUGCGGCUAAUUAUCUCUCUGAUAGGGAGAGUGAGGUGUCAUCCAUGAUUUUGCAGCUAAGAUGCGAAUGUGGCAUUGACUGGCGUUAUGUUUUUUUCUCUGGAGCCACUUGUUGCUAAUAGAAACUGUUUAAUGUUAAAAAAAAAAAGUUCUAAAAUACCAGUGAAUGUGUAUAGAUGCGAGCACAAACACACCAGUCCUCAUUACCUGUUUAAAAAAAAAGGCUGUGUAAUUUAUUUGCUUCAUGAAACCCUUUUGUUUUGCUCAAAAAUAUCAGUUUUUCCAUAAUAUCUGGAGAUGUUAUGUAGAGUUUUCUUAGUAAAAUAAUAUACCUAAUAUUUUUGUAAAACUAAUAAAAGGAGC